UCCGUAGGUGGCAAGCGUUAUCCGGAUUUACUGGGUGUAAAGGGCGUGCAGCCGGGCUGACAAGUCAGAUGUGAAAUCCCGCGGCUCAACCGCGGAACUGCAUUUGAAACUGUCAGUCUUGAGUACCGGAGAGGUCAUCGGAAUUCCUUGUGUAGCGGUGAAAUGCGUAGAUAUAAGGAAGAACACCAGUGGCGAAGGCGGAUGACUGGACGGCAACUGACGGUGAGGCGCGAAAGCGUGGGGAGCAAACAGG
rnacentral:rRNA from 1 species